UUGAACGCUGGCGGCAUGCCUUACACAUGCAAGUCGAACGGUAGCACGGGUGCUUGCACCUGGUGGCGAGUGGCGAACGGGUGAGUAAUACAUCGGAACAUGUCCUGUAGUGGGGGAUAGCCCGGCGAAAGCCGGAUUAAUACCGCAUACGAUCUACGGAUGAAAGCGGGGGACCUUCGGGCCUCGCGCUAUAGGGUUGGCCGAUGGCUGAUUAGCUAGUUGGUGGGGUAAAGGCCUACCAAGGCGACGAUCAGUAGCUGGUCUGAGAGGACGACCAGCCACACUGGGACUGAGACACGGCCCAGACUCCUACGGGAGGCAGCAGUGGGGAAUUUUGGACAAUGGGCGAAAGCCUGAUCCAGCAAUGCCGCGUGUGUGAAGAAGGCCUUCGGGUUGUAAAGCACUUUUGUCCGGAAAGAAAUCCUUGGCCCUAAUACGGUCGGGGGAUGACGGUACCGGAAGAAUAAGCACCGGCUAACUACGUG
rnacentral:rRNA from 1 species